rnacentral:sRNA from 1 species
UGAAUCGAAGAAGUCAAAGCCGUUUCU